rnacentral:tRNA from 1 species
UGAAGGUAUGGCUGAGUGGCUUAAGGCAUUGGUUUGCUAAAUCGACAUACAAGAAGAUUGUAUCAUGGGUUCAAAUCCCAUUUCCUCCGGAACAGAAGUGAAACGGGCGGGCGAAAUGACGAGAGAAAGAACCUCUUGGUGGAGUCCAACCCCCCAGAAUAGCACUACUUAGUGACUAGGAGCGGAGAGACCUUUGCGCGUUCUUUUUGUUUGAUCGGCCUAUCUUCUUUCUAUAAGCAAGCUCCCUCCGGCUGUCCAGGGGCUGGGCGGCUCUCGGUUCUUGAGGGGGAUUAGGCGGCAGUUGAAAGAGCUGCUUGAAAGCUUGACGAAGAAGCGAAAAAGCCUAUAUAUAGAUUCUAUUCUUUCUUAUUAUUCAUUAUUAUUCUAUUUUUAGUACAAGGGCUUUUUACUAGUCAAGUGGUAAGGUAGGGCGCUAUUCGAUGAAGAAAACAUCUUUUAGGAAAGUGGUUCAGGUAGCUCAGCUGGUUAGAGCAAAGGACUGAAAAUCCUUGUGUCAGUGGUUCGAAUCCACUUCUAAGCGG